UGGGGAAUAUUGCACAAUGGGCGCAAGCCUGAUGCAGCCAUGCCGCGUGUGUGAAGAAGGCCUUCGGGUUGUAAAGCACUUUCAGCGGGGAGGAAGGCGGUGAGGUUAAUAACCUCACCGAUUGACGUUACCCGCAGAAGAAGCACCGGCUAACUCCGUGCCAGCAGCCGCGGUAAUACGGAGGGUGCAAGCGUUAAUCGGAAUUACUGGGCGUGAAGCGCACGCAGGCGGUUGAUUGAGUCAGAUGUGAAAUCCCCGGGCUUAACCCGGGAAUUGCAUCUGAUACUGGUCAGCUAGAGUCUUGUAGAGGGGGGUAGAAUUCCAUGUGUAGCGGUGAAAUGCGUAGAGAUGUGGAGGAAUACCGGUGGCGAAGGCGGCCCCCUGGACAAAGACUGACGCUCAGGUGCGAAAGCGUGGGGAGCAAACAGG
rnacentral:rRNA from 1 species